rnacentral:tRNA from 1 species
GCUCCAGUGGCGCAAUCGGUUAGCGCGCGGUACUUAUAUGGCAGUAACUGUUGGGCAAUGACUGUUGGGCAAUGCUGAGGUUGUGAGUUCAAGCCUCACCUGGAGCA